GACGUAGGGUGCGAGCGUUGUCCGGAUUUAUUGGGCGUAAAGAGCUCGUAGGCGGUCUGUCGCGUCGGAUGUGAAAAUCCAGGGCUCAACCCUGGACCUGCAUUCGAUACGGGCAGACUAGAGUUCGGUAGGGGAGACUGGAAUUCCUGGUGUAGCGGUGAAAUGCGCAGAUAUCAGGAGGAACACCGGUGGCGAAGGCGGGUCUCUGGGCCGAAACUGACGCUGAGGAGCGAAAGCGUGGGGAGCAAACAGG
rnacentral:rRNA from 1 species